AUCCCCAACCCUCGCUCCCCUCCCGCGGCGCGCGCGUCUCGGCGUGCGCGUUGCGGCUAACGAACCCCCGGCGCGGCAUGCGCCAAGGAAAACUCAUAGAAGCACCCGCCUCCCGUCGCCCCGUUCGCGGUGCGCGGCGGGGGGAGUGGGUGUCUCUCCAAUGUCAUAACGACUUUCGGCAACGGAUAUCUCGGCUCUUGCAUCGAUGAAGAACGUAGUGAAAUUCGAUACUUGGUGUGAAUUGCAGAAUCCCGUGAACCAUCGAGUCUUUGAACGCAAGUUGCGCCCGAAGCCUUUCGGCCAAGGGCACGCCUGCCUGGGCGUCACGCAUCGCGUCGCCCCCCUCCCCAUCCGCUCGGCAACGGGCGAUCGGGUGGCGGGGGCGGACAUUGGCCCCCCGUGUGCAGCGCCGCGCGGCCGGCCUAAAUGCGAACCCGUGGCGACUCACGUCACGACCAGUGGUGGUUGAACACUCAACUCUCGUGCUGUCGUGUCGGGCAGAGUCGCACGUCGGGCUAACGUGGUAAACCCAACGGAGCAAUCUGAUUGCGCCUUCGACCGCGAC
rnacentral:rRNA from 1 species